UACAGAGGGGGCAAGCGUUGUUCGGAAUUACUGGGCGUAAAGGGCGCGUAGGCGGCCCUCUAAGUCGAACGUGAAAUCCCCGGGCUCAACCCGGGAACUGCGUCCGAUACUGGAAGGCUUGAAUCCGGGAGAGGGAUGCGGAAUUCCAGGUGUAGCGGUGAAAUGCGUAGAUAUCUGGAGGAACACCGGUGGCGAAGGCGGCAUCCUGGACCGGCAUUGACGCUGAGGCGCGAAAGCCAGGGGAGCAAGCAGGG
rnacentral:rRNA from 1 species